rnacentral:rRNA from 2 species
ACGGGAGGCAGCAGUGGGGGAUAUUGCACAAUGGAGGAAACUCUGAUGCAGCGACGCCGCGUGAGGGAAGAAGGUUUUCGGAUUGUAAACCUCUGUCUUCGGUGACGAAAAUGACGGUAGCCGAGGAGGAAGCCACGGCUAACUACGUGCCAGCAGCCGCGGUAAUACGUAGGUGGCAAGCGUUGUCCGGAAUUACUGGGUGUAAAGGGAGCGUAGGCGGGAGUGCAAGUCGGCUGUCUAAACUAUGGGCUCAACCCAUAAUCGCGGCCGAAACUGUACUUCUUGAGUGAAGUAGAGGUAAGCGGAAUUCCUAGUGUAGCGGUGAAAUGCGUAAAUAUUAGGAGGAACACCAGUGGCGAAGGCGGCUUACUGGGCUUUAACUGACGCUGAGGCUCGAAAGCGUGGGUAGCAAACAGGAUUAGAUACCCUGGUA